rnacentral:misc_RNA from 1 species
AGCAGCCGCGGUAAUUCCAGCUCCAAUAGCGUAUAUUAAAGUUGUUGCAGUUAAAAGCUCGUAGUUGAAUUUCGGGGUUAGCAGGUCGGUCGUGCCAUUGGUAUGAACUGGUCUCGCUGAUCCCUCCCUCUUGACGAACUGUGAUGCCAUUAAUUUGGUGUCGCAGGGAAUCAGGACUGUUACUUUGAAAAAUUAGAGUGUUUAAAGCAGGCUCACGCUUGAAUACAUUAGCAUGGAAUAAUGAAAUAGGACGUUUGAUCCUAUUUUGUUGGCUUCUAGGAUUGACGUAAUGAUUAAUAGGGAUAGUUGGGGGCAUUAGUAUUCAAUUGUCAGAGGUGAAAUUCUUGGAUUUAUUGAAGACUAACUACUGCGAAAGCAUUUGCCAAGGAUGUUUUCAUUAAUCAAGAACGAAAGUUAGGGGAUCGAAGACGAUCAGAUACCGUCGUAGUCUUAACCAUAAACUAUGCCGACUAGGGAUCGGAUGAUGUUAAUUUUUUAAUGACUCAUUC